rnacentral:rRNA from 1 species
GAUGAACGCUGGCGGCGUGCCUAAUACAUGCAAGUCGAGCGAACGGACGAGAAGCUUGCUUCUCUGAUGUUAGCGGCGGACGGGUGAGUAACACGUGGAUAACCUACCUAUAAGACUGGGAUAACUUCGGGAAACCGUAGCUAAUACCGGAUAAUAUUUUGAACCGCAUGGUUCAAAAGUGAAAGACGGUCUUGCUGUCACCUAUAGAUGGAUCCGCGCUGCAUUAGCUAGUUGGUAAGGUAACGGCUUACCAAGGCAACGAUGCAUAGCCGACCUGAGAGGGUGAUCAGCCACACUGGAACUGAGACACGGUCCAGACUCCUACGGGAGGCAGCAGUAGGGAAUCUUCCGCAAUGGGCGAAAGCCUGACGGAGCAACGCCGCGUGAGUGAUGAAGGUCUUCGGAUCGUAAAACUCUGUUAUUAGGGAAGAACAUAUGUGUAAGUAACUGUGCACAUCUUGACGGUACCUAAUCAGAAAGCCACGGCUAACUACGUG